GCGUCGCGUCCAGCCAAGGGAGAAAAAAUGAAACAGGAGAUAUCAAACUGGGAGCGGCGAAAGCACCGUCCCUCGGCACUCGCGGUAGAAGCGGGGGAGAGCGACGGAAGAGGAGAGCGUUGAGGGGAUUCUGGAGCGUGAGAGGCUUCAGAUGGAGCAGAUCAGAGAGAUUGAGCUUUAGAUCAAAGAAGCCGACGAUGAUCGCUCCUCUUCUGACGACGACGUCCUCCUCAUCAGGUUCCUUUCUUCUCCCCUUUCCCUCUGUUAUCAAGAUCGAGGGUGUCGAUUAAUAGAGCGAAAGAAAGAAGCCUCUGAACUUGUAACCAGUUCUUGAUUCUUGAAUCUGUGAUUCUGGCGAAAAAGAGGGGAAGAACCUUAAUUUUGGAUUGGUUGCGAGUAGGUUUUGAUGUUCGUCAUUUGUGAGUAAAUCAAAGAGAAAUAAAGAAGCAAACUGUUGGGGGAAAAAUCCCAAGUCAUACCGCCACGGAGGCGCUCGGCUAGAGAGCGCCGACCGGAAAGGCGCUCGGCCAAAGAAUGCCGACCAAGAAGACGCUCGACUAAAGGGCGCCGACCAGAGAGAGCGCCAAGAGGCGCCCAAUCAAAAUAACCAAGUAGAGAUGCUCGGAUAGGAACAGCCGACCAGCGGACGCCGACCAGAGAAGCGCUCAACUAGAAAGCGCUGACUAGAGAUAGCGCCAAAUAGAGGCGCUCGGCUAGAAGGUGUUCGCCCAAAGGGCGCCGACCAGGAGUAUU
rnacentral:lncRNA from 1 species